UCCAUGGUGGCUCAGAUGGUAAAGCGUCUGCCUGCAAUGCGGGAGACCCAGGUUUGAUCCCUGGGUUGGGAA
rfam:TPA: Bos taurus chromosome 4, whole genome shotgun sequence.